rnacentral:snRNA from 1 species
GUGCUGGUUUUGGACAUACAUAUGCUGCAAUUGGAACCACACAGAUGACCAUGAUUCCUGUGCAAGGGUGCCAUGCAGAUUCACGAAGUGUUCCAUAGCUUU